CCUACGGGAGGCAGCAGUAGGGAAUCUUCCACAAUGGACGAAAGUCUGAUGGAGCAACGCCGCGUGAGUGAAGAAGGGUUUCGGCUCGUAAAGCUCUGUUGGUAGUGAAGAAAGAUAGAGGUAGUAACUGGCCUUUAUUUGACGGUAAUUACUUAGAAAGUCACGGCUAACUACGUGCCAGCAGCCGCGGUAAUACGUAGGUGGCAAGCGUUGUCCGGAUUUAUUGGGCGUAAAGCGAGUGCAGGCGGUUUAAUAAGUCUGAUGUGAAAGCCUUGGGCUCAACCGGAGAAUUGCAUCAGAAACUGGUGAACUUGAGUGCAGAAGAGGAGAGUGGAACUCCAUGUGUAGCGGUGAAAUGCGUAGAUAUAUGGAAGAACACCAGUGGCGAAGGCGGCUUUCUGGUCUGCAACUGACGCUGAGGCUCGAAAGCAUGGGUAGCGAACAGGAUUAGAUACCCGUGUAGUC
rnacentral:rRNA from 1 species